CUAUGCUGCCUACAGGGUUUGGCAAGAGUUUGAUAUAUACUCUUUUCCCUCUUAUACAGAAAAAGAUGACUGGUUCUAGAAAGACAAGUUUAGUAGUGUCUCCAUUAAGAGCCCUGAUGAUUGAUCAGGUUAUAAGACUAGAAAAACAUGAUGUGAAGGCUGCUUACAUGACUAAAGAUACACCACCUGGCAUGAUGGAAGAUAUCAAGAAAGGGUUUGUCGACAUCAUAUUUUUGUCACCAGAAAUGCUGAGAAGUGUCAAAAUUGAUGUCCUUAAAUGCCACCAAU